GACGAACGCUGGCGGCGUGCUUAACACAUGCAAGUCGAGCGGAAAGGCCACUUCGGUGGUACUCGAGCGGCGAACGGGUGAGUAACACGUGAGUAAUCUGCCCUUGGCUUUGGGAUAGCCACCGGAAACGGUGAUUAAUACCGGAUACGACCACUUCUCGCAUGGGAUGGUGGUGGAAAGUUUUUCGGCCAGGGAUGUGCUCGCGGCCUAUCAGCUUGAUGGUGAGGUAAUGGCUCACCAUGGCUUCGACGGGUAGCCGGCCUGAGAGGGUGACCGGUCACACUGGGACUGAGACACGGCCCAGACUCCUACGGGAGGCAGCAGUGGGGAAUAUUGGACAAUGGGCGGAAGCCUGAUCCAGCAACGCCGCGUGAGGGAUGACGGCCUUCGGGUUGUAAACCUCUUUCGGUGGGGACGAAGCGCAAGUGACGGUACCCACUAAAGAAGCACCGGCCAACUACGUGCCAGCAGCCGCAGUAAUAC
rnacentral:rRNA from 1 species